GUGCUCACUUUGGCAGCACAUAUACUGAAAUUGGAAUGAUACAGAGAAGAUGAGCAUGGCCCCUGCACAAGGAUGACAUGCAAAUUCAUGAAGUGUUCCAUAUUUUU
rnacentral:snRNA from 1 species